GAUGAACGCUAGCGGCAGGCUUAACACAUGCAAGUCGAGGGGUAACAGGAAAAAGCUUGCUUUUUUGCUGACGACCGGCGCACGGGUGCGUAACGCGUAUAGAAUCUGCCUUCUACAGAGGGAUAGCCUUUAGAAAUGAAGAUUAAUACCUCAUAACAUGUUUUUAUGGCAUCGUAAGAAUAUUAAAGAUUUAUCGGUAGAAGAUGACUAUGCGUCCUAUUAGCUAGAUGGUAAGGUAACGGCUUACCAUGGCAACGAUAGGUAGGGGUCCUGAGAGGGAGAUCCCCCACACUGGUACUGAGACACGGACCAGACUCCUACGGGAGGCAGCAGUGAGGAAUAUUGGGCAAUGGAGGCAACUCUGACCCAGCCAUGCCGCGUGCAGGAAGACUGCCCUAUGGGUUGUAAACUGCUUUUAUACAGGAAGAAACGCAUCUACGUGUAGGUGUUUGACGGUACUGUAAGAAUAAGCACCGGCUAACUCCG
rnacentral:rRNA from 1 species